rnacentral:rRNA from 1 species
GUUCCCCAAGGGGACGAUGGGUAGCCGACCUGAGAGGGUGAUCGCCACACUGGGACUGAGACCCGCCCCAGAUUCCUACGGGAGGCAGCAGUAGGAAUCUUCCGCAAUGGACGAAAGUCUGACGGAGCAACGCCGCGUGAGUGAUGAAGGUUUUCGGAUCGUAAAGCUCUGUUGUUAGGGAAGAACAAGUGCAAGAGUAACUGCUUGCACCUUGACGGUACCUAACCAGAAAGCCACGGCUAACUACGUGCCAGCAGCCGCGGUAAUACGUAGGUGGCAAGCGUUGUCCGGAAUUAUUGGGCGUAAAGGGCUCGCAGGCGGUUUCUUAAGUCUGAUGUGAAAGCCCCCGGCUCAACCGGGGAGGGUCAUUGGAAACUGGGAAACUUGAGUGCAGAAGAGGAGAGUGGAAUUCCACGUGUAGCGGUGACAUGCGUAGAGAUGUGGAGGAACACCAGUGGCGAAGGCGACUCUCUGGUCUGUAACUGACGCUGAGGAGCGAAAGCGUGGGGAGCGAACAGGAUUAGAUACCCUGGUAGUCCACGCCGUAAACGAUGAGUGCUAAGUGUUAGGGGGUUUCCGCCCCUUAGUGCUGCAGCUAACGCAUUAAGCACUCCGCCUGGGGAGUACGGUCGCAAGACUGAAACUCAAAGGAAUUGACGGGGGCCCGCACAAGCGGUGGAGCAUGUGGUUUAAUUCGAAGCAACGCGAAGAACCUUACCAGGUCUUGACAUCCUCUGACAACCCUAGAGAUAGGGCUUUCCCUUCGGGGACAGAGUGACAGGUGGUGCAUGGUUGUCGUCAGCUCGUGUCGUGAGAUGUUGGGUUAAGUCCCGCAACGAGCGCAACCCUUGAUCUUAGUUGCCAGCAUUCAGUUGGGCACUCUAAGGUGACUGCCGGUGACAAACCGGAGGAAGGUGGGGAUGACGUCAAAUCAUCAUGCCCCUUAUGACCUGGGCUACACACGUGCUACAAUGGACAGAACAAAGGGCUGCGAGACCGCAAGGUUUAGCCAAUCCCACAAAUCUGUUCUCAGUUCGGAUCGCAGUCUGCAACUCGACUGCGUGAAGCUGGAAUCGCUAGUAAUCGCGGAUCAGCAUGCCGCGGUGAAUACGUUCCCGGGCCUUGUACACACCGCCCGUCACACCACGAGAGUUUGCAACACCCGAAGUCGGUGAGGUAACCUUUAUGAGCCAGCCGCCGAAGGUUGGCCGAAUGG